rnacentral:lncRNA from 1 species
AGGUACACCACCAGGAAGAAACAACAGCAGCAAGAAAUCUCAGACAGAUCGCCGGGGAGGCAGCGCGGGAAUCCAGCCUCAGGAGUGCGCGGACGGUGUGCCGUGCACACAACCAAGCUUAGGAGCCGACUGUUAAGAUGCCCAAGUGACACGGACAAGUUUCUCCUCUGCAACCCAAUGAGAUCUGCUGACCACGAGAGCAUCGCGGGACCGCCAAAGGAUUCUGGAAAAUGUGGUCCCGGGUGGCCAGUGUGCGCUGACCUUCACCUGAAGGUACGGCUUGAAGGAAACUUCUGGAGGGUGGGGUGGUGUUGAAGAGAAGGCACAGUUGUAACCAUUUUGUUCAACAUGGGCGUUUUCUUUGUGCAUUGAUUUGCAUUUUUAAAGGUAUUCCAUUAAAAAUAUGUUUAUCUAUUUUAA